rnacentral:lncRNA from 1 species
GGAGUGGGGUUCUCUGGGGCUGAGAUGGCACGUUGUGGAGCUUAGGAACACCCAUUUAUUCUCUCUUUUCUUCAAAUAGCAGGUGGUAUGCAACAGCUGGAAGGAGAUGAAUAUCAACCCUCCAGAAGCCCCAGGGUGGAAGGUCCUGUCCCUGUGGCUCUUCCCUGAGGUCUUUGCUGCUUGUCUUCUUGUAGGGCAUGAACCUCCUGGAGGAACAGUGCCAAGGUCUGAGGUCCAGGAAGCUAAACUGGAGUUAGAGAGACAAAUGCUGCAGAGAGCAGAGGCAGCUACAGGAAGCAGGAGCCGAGCCUGUGAAGUCGGGCAGCGGCGGGGCCAGAGGUGGAGGAGGGCAGCUGGAGAGGGAAGCUUCUGGGAAGCCAGAUGCCCCGGAGGCAGGAGUGCGUGGACACUCCCUGAGGUCCAAGUGCUGAGGCUGGGCAGGACUUGAUGACACUCAUUUCCUUUAGCCCUCCUGCAGCAAGGGGCCUCACCUCCUUUACAGCAGAUUGAGCUUAUAUAAGGAGUUUGAGGGACUUGCUGGAGCUCUCACAGCCAGUGGUGUCGAGAAGAUUUUGAUCCACGUCUAUCAGAUUCCACGUGGCUCUCCGACCCUCCAUUAGCAGUUCACCCGAGAGAGGAGGUGGCGCCAGGGGAGAUGACAGGACUCAAGCUCCAGAAUUCCAGAAACUGAAGACUGAAAUACACCAGCUCUGCCUCCAGAAGAAAUUAGGUCUCAGCCAGAAAAAUGUCAUGUCUUAAUUAGGUAACCAAUUAAUUUUUGAGCAGAAGUCAAGAAACAACCAUCCUCCCUCAGCCCUCUCUGCACCCCCCCUUCUUCCUUGUGUCCCUGCCACCCCAUCUUCCUUCCUCCCUCUGACAUGAUUCAUGGAGCAAUUACAACCUGUCAGGAAUAAUGUUAAUUAUGAAGAACAAGCAUGAAUAAGAGCCAUUCCCUGCCCUUGGGAAACUCAAGCACGUGGGGGAGUUCCAGGAAACUGAGGCAGCUCUUUACAGACUCCUCAUGCUCAGCACAGUUUUGUCCUUGCUUCUGAACUCCGAAGUUCACGGUCAGGCCCAGCCAACCCCAUGCUUCUCCUCCAGCCCAGCUCCCCCUGUUAGGGAUAGGUCAAGCUCCCUCCAAGCCUCUCUUCCUGGAGCCACUCCAGGGGAUGCACAGAGCGGGCAGUGAGCUUCGAACAAGCCUGAGCCUUUGGGCUUUGCAUCUGCUCACAGCUGUGCCUGGGGUGGCCCAAAUUCUCCAGGUCAUAAGUCACACUGACUUCCAAUCUUGGAACAUAGGAACAGUUUCUUGGCUUCCAGCCUCUUCCUCUGUAGCCUCUGACCCAAUCAACUCCUCUGCCUGAAGCCAGUCACCACACCCCAUUCCUCCCUGCUACGCAUGGCAGGGCAGAGCAAGGCUUAGUGGCACCCAUGCUGCCCACUCUCAAGGCCUGAUGCCUGUUUUCCUCUCUCAUUUAUUUCUCUGUGUACCACUUAUGAUCAUGCACUCCUCCUUUCUUGCCUCUCCAAUUCUUCUUCUAGCUCCAACCAUACACCCCUUCUCUUCUUCUUCUCUUUACUUUCCUCUUGAUUCUUCAACUCAAAACCCCCAAAUGUAACAUCUGGCAAGUCAAGACCGUCCCUGGAGAGAGGGGAGGGAAAGAUGUUGAUUGGGAGAAACCAUAUCCUCUUGCCUACGUGGAGGAGAUGGAAAAGACCGGAAACAUUUUUAUAGUAAUAAUUUUUUCCCCAUCACAAUAGCUAUCACUUCAGGGAGCCCUUCCCUCUGAGCCCCAUAGGAUAAUUUCUGGAUUAAACUAACCAUAUUCCUAGGUUAUUUUUGUCCCCACUGAUUCCAAAUAUUUUGUUCCAAUUCCAAGCUACAAUGGGCUACCAUCAGUCAACUGUUCCAACUUUGAGUUGAGAAGUGUGUCUAGACAAAAUCAUGGAAUUUGCAGGGAAAUGGAUGGCACUAGAGCAGAUUAUGCUUAGUGAAGCUAGCCAAUCCCUAAAAAACAAAUA